rnacentral:rRNA from 1 species
UGCAAGUCGAACGGUCUCUUCGGAGGCAGUGGCGGACGGGUGAGUAACGCGUGGGAACGUGCCCUUUGGUACGGAACAACUGAGGGAAACUUCAGCUAAUACCGUAUGUGCCCUUCGGGGGAAAGAUUUAUCGCCAUUGGAGCGGCCCGCGUUGGAUUAGGUAGUUGGUGAGGUAAAGGCUCACCAAGCCUACGAUCCAUAGCUGGUCUGAGAGGAUGAUCAGCCACACUGGGACUGAGACACGGCCCAGACUCCUACGGGAGGCAGCAGUAGGGAAUCUUGCGCAAUGGGCGAAAGCCUGACGCAGCCAUGCCGCGUGAAUGAUGAAGGUCUUAGGAUUGUAAAAUUCUUUCACCGGGGACGAUAAUGACGGUACCCGGAGAAGAAGCCCCGGCUAACUUCGUGCCAGCAGCCGCGGUAAUACGAAGGGGGCUAGCGUUGCUCGGAAUUACUGGGCGUAAAGGGAGCGUAGGCGGAUAGUUUAGUCAGAGGUGAAAGCCCAGGGCUCAACCUUGGAAUUGCCUUUGAUACUGGCUAUCUUGAGUAUGGGAGAGGUGAGUGGAACUCCGAGUGUAGAGGUGAAAUUCGUAGAUAUUCGGAAGAACACCAGUGGCGAAGGCGACUCACUG